GUCUUGGCCUUCACCUCUCUCUGUUCCACGAACGUAAAUCUCUUUGUUUUUUGCUGCUUCUCCGCAUUUUUCCCUCUCUUCUGCCAUCUCUGAGGUCCAUGCCAUGUCUCUUUCUAUCUAUUCUGAUUUCUUUGUAACACAGAACAAUACCUCCUUCUCCAAAUAUUCCUUCUUUUUCGGAUACAACAAAAACAACACAAGCAUUCUCCCAGCUUUUCUCAUUCCUCCAUUCCGUUCAAAACGAAAGGAUCCAAUUUUUUUGGGUUUUUUUUUUCUAUUCAUGUGAAGGUUCCUUUAGAGCUGCGAAGUUUAAGGGCUACAAUAGAAACUGGCCAUAAUUUUUUUUUUUGUAUGUAGAAGCAGGAAACUCAUCUUCUUUAAUGUCAAUAUGUCUAAUCAUUAGGCGCUGGUCACUUCUUCUCCGGAUCAUUUUUCUUUGUAUGUAGAAGUAAGUUACUUAUUUUUAUUAUUUUAAGUUUCUUCAUUAUUGCAGGGGUUACACUAAAAAUUGUCUAUUUUUCCUUUUAAUAUAAAAGCAAGGUUGAUCUCACUUUGAGUUUUACAUUCAUACUUUGAAUUUUCCUAAUCUAAAGGGAUAGUAAAUGUUCAAAUAUAUUGGUGGAUGCACACGAAUUUGUCAACCUUGCUGAUUUUGAACUGGCAAAGGUGAAUAUCUUGCUCAAUUUAUACAUCAAUGUAGAAUCGUUUGUUAGUUUCUCUUAUACUUCAAUUUUAGCUAUCGAUAUCUAAAUAUUGCUCAACUGAUUAACAUUUUAAUUUUCUUAUAUUGCUUUAUUAUUUCAGUCAACCAAAUUGAAUUAUGACAUUAAAUUAUGCAAGGGGAUUUGUUUUGCUGCCUUGCUUUCAUAUGCUUUGGGUUGUUUUCAUUAGGUGUUUUUGCUAUUUGAAAUUCUGCUACUUUAGUUUUAUAUGUUGUUAUCACAAUAUUAUGUUGUUGUUAUCAGUGAUUACAUGUGAUGUCUAAUGCUUUUCUUUGUGUCGUGCAAGAAGGUCAGGGUGUUGUCCCAAAGGUUGCACCAUGAGGUCGCUGUUUUGAAAUUGAAAAAAUGGGUAUUAACUGGCUUGGUUAAAUUGUAACCUAUGCUGCUGUUGGGUUUGGUGACUGAUGAAGCUUGAUAUGAAGAAGUUUCUUCAUUCACUUUCUCUUUGGGUUAAUUAUUUAUUAUUUACAUUGUUUAUUGUUCUGGAGUUUCAUAGUUGCAAUGGCAAGAAAUAGUCAUCUUAUUUAGAGCUUACAAGGUGCUAGAUUUACAUAUCUGUGUCAUGCAUUAUAUCCUUCAAUAAUUGUUUGCUUGCAAUAUGUUUUCUAAAUUGACUCACGAAACAUUUGCAUCAAACCUUUAUCGAAAAAAGGUACUCUUCAACUAUCUUUUCAACAAAUAAUUAUGACUUUCUUGAUUUAGUUUGUAGUAUUCUUCCAUUUUGUUUCAAAAUAUAUUUCAAUAAUCAGUUUUGGUUUUCUGUUUGUAAUAACAUGUUAAAAGAAUUGUUUAUCAUUUGAUAGGAGACAAUAAAAACAAGUUGCUUUUCUGUUGGGUAAGUAUUGAUAAGUAACAAGUGUGAAUGAUACUUAGUCUUAUAUUAAAUGAAAUAAUAUGCGAGAGUUUAUGAGAUGAGAAAUUUAUCUAUUUAGUGCGUUAAGCUGUUUAAGUUGGUGUGGUAUAUUCUCUCACUUAAUUCUUAUACAAGUGAUUGACUAUUUUUUCUUUUGUUGGUAUUGUAAUACGAUUGCUAAAAUAUUACUCUUUGAUUAUUUUUAUUUUUUUGAUACAAACAAUAAAUGUACUGUUUUGCUUCUCUCACUAUCUUUGUCAUGAGAUGGAUAAAUUCUUUUAUUUGUUUUAAUUUAAAGCUUUUCUC